GGGAUGGGCAAGACCCUGCUAGAAACACCACAUGCUGCCUUCUCUCUGCCCUUUCCUCUCACUCGGGUCAGAAUUUCCAUCAUUAGACUCCUUAAUGUACUGGGGGUUGGGAUGACACUGGAAAAUGGUCAUGAGCCAGAAGAGCCCAUCUAGAGUUUGGUGGGGGAACCAGAGAGAGUGUGGCUGUUAAAAAUGUGUUAUUUGUAAUAGCAGAAGACUGGAAAUGACCUGAAUAUCCAUCAGCAAGAGACUCGUUAAAUAGCUGUUUUUCAACAAUGGAAUGCUAUACGGCAAUGAAAAUGGACCACAGCUACAUGCAACAAGAAUAUUUACACUAUGAUUCUCUUCAUAUAAAGAUUAAAAUCUGUUAAGGGAACACAAGUUCAGCCCCCGGUUGGGGAGCUGAGACCUUGCAUGAUGCCGUGGGGCAGCUGAGCCCACGCAGCGCAACUAGAGAGUCCACGUGCCUCAGCAGAGACCCAGCGCGGCCAGAAAGAAACAACAAAUAAAAAGAUAAAAAUAAAAAACAGUUUUGCC
ensembl:lncRNA